GCCUGUUUAGCGCAGCACUAUCCAUAACAGCCAAGAUUUCAAAGCAACCUAAGUGUCCAUCAAUAGAUGAAAGGAUAAAGAAAACAUGGUACUAUACAGAAAGGAGUGUUAUUCAGCCAUAAAAAGAAUGAGAUCCUGUCAUUUGCAACAACAUGGAUAGAACUGGCAGUCAUUCUGUCAAGUGAAAUAAGCCAGACACAAAGACAAAAUUCUAUGUUCCCACUUAUUUGUGGGAGCUAAAAAAUUAAUU
rnacentral:lncRNA from 1 species